CAGGGAGACAACAAAAUGUUUAAUAUUAUUAUUUUGUCACCUUAGGUCGAUCGGUACCUCACGUUCUUAAUUUAUUAAGAAUUUCAUUUCCUAAGUUUUUCUAGGUCACACCCAUUAUUUUUCCUGGGCCAUUAGCUCAGGUGGUUAGAGCGCACCCCUGAUAAGGGUGAGGUCCCUGGUUCAAGUCCAGGAUGGCCCAUAUCUCUAUGUUGGGGGUAUAGCUCAGUUGGUAGAGCGCCUGCUUUGCAAGCAGGAUGUCAGCGGUUCGAGUCCGCUUACCUCCACUGAUUACCACCUCUUCCAUAAUUUGUAGAAAGGAAAUUUUUUGAGUUGUGAUCAAAUUCCGAACGAAUCUAGCUUCCUAAUGAAAUCAUUAAGAUGCUGGACUCAUUGAAUUAAUUUCAUUGUUUUCAGAGAACCUUGACAACUGCAUAGAUUAUUUUAAAGACAAUAAGCAUCUUUAAUGAUGCAGAUUUAUUAUUUGUGCGAAUGCAUUAAUAACAAUUCUAUUAAGCUGAUGCUUCAAUUUUGAAGUUAUU
rnacentral:tRNA from 1 species